UGCAGUCGAGCGAACUGAUUAGAAGCUUGCUUCUAUGACGUUAGCGGCGGACGGGUGAGUAACACGUGGGCAACCUGCCUGUAAGACUGGGAUAACUUCGGGAAACCGAAGCUAAUACCGGAUAGGAUCUUCUCCUUCAUGGGAGAUGAUUGAAAGAUGGUUUCGGCUAUCACUUACAGAUGGGCCCGCGGUGCAUUAGCUAGUUGGUGAGGUAACGGCUCACCAAGGCAACGAUGCAUAGCCGACCUGAGAGGGUGAUCGGCCACACUGGGACUGAGACACGGCCCAGACUCCUACGGGAGGCAGCAGUAGGGAAUCUUCCGCAAUGGACGAAAGUCUGACGGAGCAACGCCGCGUGAGUGAUGAAGGCUUUCGGGUCGUAAAACUCUGUUGUUAGGGAAGAACAAGUAUGAGAGUAACUGCUCGUACCUUGACGGUACCUAACCAGAAAGCCACGGCUAACUACGUGCCAGCAGCCGCGGUAAUACGUAGGUGGCAAGCGUUAUCCGGAAUUAUUGGGCGUAAAGCGCGCGCAGGCGGUUUCUUAAGUCUGAUGUGAAAGCCCACGGCUCAACCGUGGAGGGUCAUUGGAAACUGGGGAACUUGAGUGCAGAAGAGAAAAGCGGAAUUCCACGUGUAGCGGUGAAAUGCGUAGAGAUGUGGAGGAACACCAGUGGCGAAGGCGGCUUUUUGGUCUGUAACUGACGCUGAGGCGCGAAAGCGUGG
rnacentral:rRNA from 2 species